rnacentral:rRNA from 1 species
AAUAGAUACCCGGGUAGUCCUAGCCGUAAACGAUGAACACUAGGCGUAGUCGGUAUCGACCCCGGCUGUGCCGUAGCUAACGCAUUAAGUGUUCCGCCUGGGGAGUACGGCCGCAAGGCUAAAACUCAAAGGAAUUGACGGGGGCCCGCGACAAGCAGCGGAGCGUGUGGUUUAAUUCGUCGCAACGCGAAGAACCUUACCAGGGCUUGACAUGUGGCGGAAAACGGCGGAAACGUCGUCCUCCCGCAAGGGACCGUCAUGCAGGUGUUGCAUGGCUGUCGUCAGCUCGUGUCGUGAGAUGUUGGGUUAAGUCCCGCAACGAGCGCAACCCCCGUGGCAUGUUGUAUCUCUCAUGCCAGACUGCCGAGAGAACUCGGAGGAAGGUGGGGAUGACGCCAAGUCAGCAUGGCCCUUACGUCCUGGGCUACACACACGCUACAAUGGCCGGUACAACGGGUUGCCAAACCGCGAGGUGGAGCUAAUCCCUUAAAGCCGGUCUCAGUUCGGAUUGCAGGCUGCAACUCGCCUGCAUGAAGCCGG